CCCACAUUGUCAAGACCUCAUCCACACAUCUAAGUCAUGCCCACACCAUCAAGGCCAUGCCCACACCAUCAAGGCCAUGCCCACAAGUGCCAUGCCAGAGAUUCACAUCAAGGCCACACCCAUAGCAUCAAAGCCACGCCCACAUCUGUCCACUCUCCUCCUCACAAUGCUUUUCUCUAAAGGGACCAGGCCAGGGCCACAGCCCUCCAAUCUGGGGUAACAACCAAUCUUCACUGAUCUAAGAUGCAGCGGUCCAAGGUGCUGUGCCCCCGUGAUGGCUACUGGAGAAGAUUCACCAUGGAAACAAGCCCCAGGCCUGUCCGUGAGGGAGGUUCUAGAUGGCCGGGAAGAACCACCCUCACGGGGCAGCACCGGGAGCGUGCGCGCAGCACCGGGAGCGUGCGCGCAGCGUCGUGGACUCCCAGACUGAACAAAAAGGAGAAAUCCAGCCGAGCACCAGCGUUUCCUGCUCUCUGCUUCCUGACUGUGGACACCGUGUGACCUCACUCUCUGCGACAGCUUCCCCACCAAGAGGGACAUAAAUAUUGAAGGCACAAAGCAGAAAAGGCCACGUCUCUGUGCCUAGAGAACCUGGAGAUGGGCCAGUAGCCAGCCACAGGAGCAGGACCUACAUGCCACGCCUAGUCAAGCCCUCCGGAAAGCACUGGUCACUGGCACCAACCCUGAUCCCGGGUCUCACACGAGCCAAGGAAACACAGCAGGCUCUACUACCUCCACAGCCACGGUGAGAAGCUGUUUCGGGAGAGCUUGCAGAUGGGGCUUGACGGUCAUAGCCCCCUCAGGCUACAGUGAAACCACCACACACACACACACACACACACACACACACACACACACACGCUUGAUGCUCACUCCAUGCUCCUGCACAAUCUGGGAGGAGGAAAUUCCCAGAUUGCCAGCCCCUGCGGUAUCACCAAGCAAAGUAAAACCAGCCAGAUAGAGCUGCCGUGACUCA